rnacentral:rRNA from 1 species
GACGAACGCUGGCGGCGUGCUUAACACAUGCAAGUCGAACGGAAAGACCCUGCUUUUGUGGGGUGCUCGAGUGGCGAACGGGUGAGUAACACGUGAGUAACCUGCCCUUGACUUUGGGAUAACUUCAGGAAACUGGGGCUAAUACCGGAUAGGAGCUCCUGCUGCAUGGUGGGGGUUGGAAAGUUUCGGCGGUUGGGGAUGGACUCGCGGCUUAUCAGCUUGUUGGUGGGGUAGUGGCUUACCAAGGCUUUGACGGGUAGCCGGCCUGAGAGGGUGACCGGCCACAUUGGGACUGAGAUACGGGCCAGACUCCUACGGGAGGCAGCAGUGGGGAAUAUUGCACAAUGGGCGGAAGCCUGAUGCAGCAACGCCGCGUGCGGGAUGACGGCCUUCGGGUUGUAAACCGCUUUCGCCUGUGACGAAGCGUGAGUGACGGUAAUGGGUAAAGAAGCACCGGCUAACUACGUG